CUUAUGCUACUAUAGCUCACUUAACAAUAUACCAGAUUACCCGGAUGCUGAGUCACUAACUAACUCCUUCCUAGAUUCCCUUUCCUUACCAUCAAUUACUGAUGCAGAUAAAGAGCGUCUCUUAUCUACUUUCACAGAAGAGGUAUCUAGAGGAAGUGGAAAAAACAGAACCUUUUGGUGGGCGCUGAUCGCAGAGUCCAAAGAUAUCAAACACGAUGGUGUCGGGAAAAAGUACCAGGAGGCACUAUGUUUAUUAACAAGCUUCCAAUAACCUCCUUCUUCAGAUUGGCAUACAGGCAUGGGCAGCAUACAGUGCUAUUUAUACAAUGGACGCCUACUUAAGGUGGGCGGAGCUAAACAAACAAUAUAGACUCACUAGUCUAGUUACAAAACUAUAGUAAAAGUUUCAAUUAAAACUACAGUCAGUCAUAACCGAGAUGCACAACAGAUUAUCAACAUAAAAUUAGUACAGUUAGCGUUUGUGGAGUUGCAUAACUAUAAGUCACAGCAUGCCCUCUGCUCUCAUGCUUCGGCAGUACUGCAUGAGAGCGAGGUUGAAUGGAUUGUAAAUAAACAUCAGCGCAUGGUGCGAUGAUGUAAACAAACGGGAGUACAGCGGAGUUGGUAUCUAAGGACUUGUCACCAGGUCCAGGAAACCACGUGGGGACAUUGAACCAAUGGUGCGCGCAAACAGGGAAACUCACAGACAGGAGACUCGCAGCUGUUUCACGCUGUCAGAGGUGAUGUCCAGUGAAAAUCCAGGCUGCUGGCGGCGUUCCUACAAUAAAUAGAGACAAGUGAACGUGGUGAUAAAAUUAAUAAACCAUUUGGAGUCUGGCGUCGGUAUUAACUGGUUGUCCUGGGGUUGCACGGUUGUAAACAAUCAUGUUGUGCCUACAACACAUUAAACAGGAUUGGAGAGGAGGAAGCCAUUUAGUGAAAAUGUCCCGUGCUGAAACUGCCACCGGUAUCUCUCACCAUUAUCGAGAUCUGCCUGCUAUGGGAGAACUGCUGAUCCUGUGAUCUGUUUCCAUCCACUGCUGACGUCACACGCUAUCACCACAAGAUAACCCAGCAGGAACCAUCUACUUCGGAUACCUCCGAUUUACCGCAGACGAGCACGUCAUACACCGGGUUCGAGUGCCAUCAAGCGCUCACAAAGCAGCCCACCAGAGCGGGACCUCCAAUUAUCCAGUAAUAUUAAUUUCAUGUUACAUUAAUCCACAAUCUGGAAAUACUAUUCUUACUUGCUGGACUAUUCCAUCUUCUUAUUUGCUGGACUAUUCCAACUGGUUUUCUGGACUAUCAGAUUUUCCAAAUUGCCGGACUAUCGGUCACAACACAAUUUUAUUGUCUAUAAAUUUUUGUUUUAUGCUCUCCACACUUAUUCUAAUUGCAACUGUUAUUUUCCCCACAAGAGCCCUGUGUGGGAAAUAUUUUAUGCACUAUAUUUUAUGCAACAUAAGCUGUACUU